rnacentral:rRNA from 1 species
AUUGAACGCUGGCGGCAGGCCUAACACAUGCAAGUCGAACGGUAAGAGGAAGCACCUUGCCGUCUGGCUGUCGAGUGGCGGGCGGGUGUGUCAUGUCUGUGAAACUGCCUUAUGGAGGGGGUAAAUUACUGAAAACGGUGCCUAAAACCGCUUAUUUUUGCAAUAUCAUAGAUCGGGACUUUCUGGCCUCUUUCCCUUUGAUUUUCCCUGAUGCCAUUAGUUAUUAGGUAGUGUAAAGGCUGACCUAGGCGACGAUCCCUAGCUGGUAUGAGAGGAUGACCCGCCACACGUGAACUGAGACACGGUCCAGACUCCUACGGGAGGCAGCAGUUGGGAAUAUUGCACAAUGGGCGGAAGCCUGAUGCAGGCAUGCAGCGUGUAUGAAGAAGGCCUUCGGGUUGUAAAACACUUUCAGCCGGGAAGAACAGAGUAAAGAGAAUCAAUUUACUCAUUGACGUUACCUGCAGAAGAAGCACCGGCUAACUCCGUG